rnacentral:rRNA from 1 species
AACGAACGCUGGUGGCGUGCUUAACACAUGCAAGUCGAACGAGAAAGUUUCCUUCGGGAAAUUAGUAAAGUGGCGCAAGGGUGAGUAUCACGUGAAUAAUCUGCCCUCGAGAUCGGGAUAACAUGGUGAAAACUAUGCUAAUACCGGAUAAGACCACAUUUCAUAGAAAUGCGGUAAAAGAGGGGUCUCAAUCUUCACUCGAGGAUGAGUUCGCGCAACAUUAGCUUGUUGGUGAGAUAAAAGCUCACCAAGGCUACGAUGUUUAGCCGGCCUGAGAGGGUGAACGGCCACACUGGAACUGAGACACGGUCCAGACUCCUACGGGAGGCAGCAGUAGGGAAUCUUGCACAAUGGAGGAAACUCUGAUGCAGCGAUGCCGCGUGAGUGAAG